UACGAAGGGGGCUAGCGUUGCUCGGAAUCACUGGGCGUAAAGGGCGCGUAGGCGGCCAUUCAAGUCAGAGGUGAAAGCCCAAGGCUCAACCUUGGAAUUGCCUUUGAUACUGUUUGGCUUGAGACCGGAAGAGGUAAGUGGAACUGCGAGUGUAGAGGUGAAAUUCGUAGAUAUUAGGAAGAACACCAGUGGCGAAGGCGGCUCACUGGCCCGGUACUGACGCUGAGGCGCGAAAGCGUGGGGAGCAAACAGG
rnacentral:rRNA from 1 species